GACGAACGCUGGCGGCGUGCUUAACACAUGCAAGUCGAACGGAAAGGCCCUGCUUUUGUGGGGUGCUCGAGUGGCGAACGGGUGAGUAACACGUGAGUAACCUGCCCUUGACUUUGGGAUAACUUCAGGAAACUGGGGCUAAUACCGGAUAGGAGCUCCUGCUGCAUGGUGGGGGUUGGAAAGUUUCGGCGGUUGGGGAUGGACUCGCGGCUUAUCAGCUUGUUGGUGGGGUAGUGGCUUACCAAGGCUUUGACGGGUAGCCGGCCUGAGAGGGUGACCGGCCACAUUGGGACUGAGAUACGGCACAGACUCCUACGGGAGGGAGCAGUGGGGAAUAUUGCACAAUGGGCGGAAGCAUGAUGCAGCAACGCCGCGUGCGGGAUGACGGCAUUCGGGUUGUAAACCGAUUUCGCCUGUGACGAAGCGUGAGUGACGGUAAUGGGUAAAGAAGCACCGGCUAACUACGUG
rnacentral:rRNA from 1 species